GAUGAACGCUGGCGGCGUGCCUAAUACAUGCCAGUCGAGCGAACAGAUGAGGAGCUUGCUCCUCUGACGUUAGCGGCGGACGGGUGAGUAACACGUGGAUAACCUACCUAUAAGACUGGGAUAACUUCGGGAAACCGGAGCUAAUACCGGAUAAUAUAUUGAACCGCAUGGUUCAAUAGUGAAAGACGGUUUUGCUGUCACUUAUAGAUGGAUCCGCGCCGCAUUAGCUAGUUGGUAAGGUAACGGCUUACCAAGGCAACGAUGCGUAGCCGACCUGAGAGGGGGAUAGGCCACACUGGAACUGAGACACGGUCCAGACCCCUAAGGGAGGCAGCAGUAGGGAAUCUGCCGCAAUGGGCGAAAGCCUGACGGAGCAACGCCGCGUGAGUGAUGAAGGUCUUCGGAUCGUAAAACUCUGUUAUUGGGGAAGAACAAAUGUGGAAGUAACUAUGCACGUAUUGACGGUACCUAAUAAGAAAGCCACGGCUAACUACGUG
rnacentral:rRNA from 1 species